rnacentral:rRNA from 1 species
UCGCUUAGGGUGGGCAGUCACUUAUGUACUUAUUAGACAGGAGAGAUAUUAUAAGUAAAGGGGAGGCAAGUAGUGACAUGGUAAGUGUACCGGAAGGUGUACU